rnacentral:rRNA from 1 species
AGCUCGUGUCGUGAGAUGUUGGGUUAAGUCCCGCAACGAGCGCAACCCUUAAGCUUAGUUGCCAUCAUUAAGUUGGGCACUCUAAGUUGACUGCCGGUGACAAACCGGAGGAAGGUGGGGAUGACGUCAAAUCAUCAUGCCCCUUAUGAUUUGGGCUACACACGUGCUACAAUGGACAAUACAAAGGGCAGCGAAACCGCGAGGUCAAGCAAAUCCCAUAAAGUUGUUCUCAGUUCGGAUUGUAGUCUGCAACUCGACUACAUGAAGCUGGAAUCGCUAGUAAUCGUAGAUCAGCAUGCUACGGUGAAUACGUUCCCGGGUCUUGUACACACCGCCCGUCACACCACGAGAGUUUGUAACACCCGAAGCCGGUGGAGUAACCUUUUAGGAGCUAGCCGUCGAAGGUGGGACAAAUGAUUGGGGUGAAGUCGUAACAAGGUAGCCGUAUCGGAAGGUGCGGCUGGAUCACCUCCUUUCUAAGGA